AUUUGGCCAAGUCGCUGAGCUCCAUGUCGCCGAAGGCUUCCCAAGGGCAAACCACUGUGAUGUCUGUGCCGAGGCCCUCCAUGCCGGGGAUGUCGUCGCCAAAGCUGCAGGAGAGAAAGCAAAUAGUCACAUGGGCCCCGCCAAGGGUCAAACGUCUCCGCCGAAGUCAGCGUGCUCCUCCCCGCCCCUUUUCCUGGCUGCGUUUGUCCUCGUUCCCAUCAGGCGUCCCUCCCUCCUGAUGGGUAGACGACGUCAAAGACCCUUCUGGAAGGAUUUGAUGGGGCUUAAUCCCUCUAAAGCCCAGCACGCCUGAGCUGUGUUCUGAGGUCCAUGUGAGGUGCUGCGUUCACCUGCGGAGCCCCCAGUAAACACAAGACAAACUCUGUAUUCAGAUAUGUUCUGUUUGUAAAAUACAGAUGAAUCUUCGCUCUGUGAUAACAGUUGCAUGUCGGCGUGUUGGAGGAGAUUUGCAUUUCUCAAAAUGUGUUUGGACGGAGCUUUGCAUUGAUUUGAUUUUGACUGUGAGCCGAAGUGGCAAACUGCCUAACAUCUCUUCAUGGUAAAGUGGUGUUAUAUGUGUGCAUGAGCUCUUUAUAGACCGGUAUUUUUUACUUCCUAUCACUUCCAAAACCACAAGGAUUCAACAUUUAAGAGCGUAUUCUAAUAUAUAUUCUGUAGUGAAUCCAAGUUCUCUGCUCCUGAUUCACACGUGGAGAUUGUUGAUUUACCGGGAGAACAAGAAGGGGAAGGUAUUUCAGCAGACAUUUCUGUUUUUAAAAUGACCCAACAAUCCAUUCAUUGGAACCCAAGGGAAGGUCACAGACCGGCAAAACGUAACCACACAGACACGGGGAAAGUUCCUCGUGCCGUUCUUUAAUUCUCGAUUUCCUAUAUGUACUAAUUCUAUCUUGAUAAAUCUCAGACAAAAGAUGAAUCAGAAUUAAUCAGAAUCAGGGGGAAUCAGAAGGAUGAUAGCAAAUUGCUCAUAAUUACAACAACAUAUUUAAUAUAUUCUGUCUGUAGCGUUGACAUUAAUUAACUCCAGUGAAAAUGGAAGCAAGGGCUACAAAAUGGCUUUUAGAAGAAUGAGGCAAGCGAGUCGUUUUCAAUAUAUAGUGAAAUUGGUGUGCUGGUCUGGGAUUGGCUAAUGCUCCGCAUUAAUCCGCUGAGGUCUUGACGCCACCAUGGCCCUAAGGCAGCGCGGUGCAAAGGCUAAGCCUGUUUAACGGUGGGGUUUGUGGCUGCGGAUAGCGAGUAGCUGUCCUCUUUAACCACGCAGACCUUUAUAUAUAUAUAUAUAUAUAUAUAUGUCUGGAGGUUGGGGCGAGUUCACCACGCUCCAUGCUCCAUCAACGUGACGGCGGUGCUGCCAAACUAGGGUUGUUUGCAGGAAACUGAGUUCCUCAGUAAAAACAAUGAACUGGACUUACAUGGACUUAGUACACGGUGAGUUGUUGACACCUCCAGACUGCAGGUCAUAAAUCAGCCUUGCAGCCCUUUCGUCUUAUUUCAGCUGGAUUGAGCUAAUACCUCGGCCACUAAUUGGAUUAACGAAGGGACUUACUGUUGAAGAACGAUGUGACGCAGGCGGUGCGUCAUUAUGUGCUUGGGUGUGUUAAGCAUCAUUGUCUACAUUUUACUGCAUGUCAAACACCAGCGAAGUGCGAUUUUAACAAAUAAAUCUGUUCUUUCUUGAAGCUCAUGAA